ACGAACGCUGGCGGCAGGCUUAACACAUGCAAGUCGAGCGCCCCGCAAGGGGAGCGGCAGACGGGUGAGUAACGCGUGGGAAUCUACCGAGCCCUACGGAAUAACGCAUGGAAACGUGUGCUAAUACCGUAUACGCCCUACGGGGGAAAGAUUUAUCGGGGUUUGAUGAGCCCGCGUUGGAUUAGCUAGUUGGUGGGGUAAAGGCCUACCAAGGCGACGAUCCAUAGCUGGUCUGAGAGGAUGAUCAGCCACAUUGGGACUGAGACACGGCCCAAACUCCUACGGGAGGCAGCAGUGGGGAAUAUUGGACAAUGGGGGAAACCCUGAUCCAGCCAUGCCGCGUGGGUGAUGAAGGCCUUCGGGUUGUAAAGCCCUUUUGGCGGGGACGAUAAUGACGGUACCCGCAGAAUAAGCCCCGGCUAACUUCGU
rnacentral:rRNA from 1 species